rnacentral:misc_RNA from 1 species
UCCUUUGUAUGCAAUGACCGCUCCCUGUCGCGGUAGCAACAAGCAAAAUAAAGGUCUCCAGUGACCCACUUUGACUUCAUUUCUCACUCGGUAACGCGAUCGUCAUUCGUUCGGGAAAUUGGUGUUAAUACAUCCACAUCAAAACUGCAGGAUGGCUGCUACAGUAAGGACCCAGAAGGAGAUGAGGGACAAGGCGAUGAAGCAACUGAAACACGAGAAAGAUGCUAUGGUAAAGUUACGUCUGGCAUGUUUAGCGAGAGGCUCAACAGGGAUCAAAGGCCUGGGCAGAUGUUUUAAGAUCAUGGACGAUGACGGUAGUCGAUCACUUGACUUCAAAGAGUUUAAGAAGGGUAUCCAUGACUACGGCUGUACAGAGUUGUCUAAUGAGGAGAUACAGGAAGCCUUCAACAAAUGUGACAAGGAUGGCAGCGGAACCCUGGACUUUGAUGAGUUUCUGAUACAGCUCAGGCCUCCCAUGAGCCAAGCCAGAAGGUCAUUAAUAGCACAAGCAUUUAAGAAGCUGGACAAGAGUGGUGAUGGUGUGGUUACAGUUGAGGACCUGAAAGGGAUUUACAACGUCAAGAAGCAUCCAAAAUAUCUCAAUGGAGAGUGGACAGAGGACCAGUGCCUGCGACAAUUCCUUGACACAUUCGACAGUCAGGACAAAGAUGGAAAGAUUACCUGUGAGGAGUUUGACAACUACUACGCUGGUGUCAGUGCGUCUAUUGACAGUGAUGUGUACUUUGAUCUGAUGAUGAGGCAAGCUUGGAAACUGACAACAUAGUCAGAUGACCUUCACCUUCAUGGUAGCUCUCACAAGACCUCAAACAACAAUUGUGUCCCGAAUUAUUUGUAACCCAGGUAUUGGGAGCUAGUGACAGUUACCUGACUCCAGUCCUUCAGUGGAAAUUGUUACAUACCUGCCCUGUAUUCCAUCACAAAUGUUGUGAGAUUGAACAGCAUUAUGAUGUUUUAAAACUUGUGUUCUUGCCAAGUUAUGAUUGCUUCUUAGUAUCUGGCAAUGAGGCAACAGCGCUGACAACCACCUGUCCAGUGUCUGCAUGUGUUCCACAGCGCCAGUGUGCCUUCUCUUACUUCCACUUAUGCAUGUAAUGGAUAUUGUGGCCUGACCAGUUUUAUUACGUUUUAAAGAUGUUCUUGGCAGGGUCCAGGAACAGUCAUAUAGAACAAGUAAUGAUGAUUUUUUUACACUUUAUCACAGCUGGCUUCUUGUCCAAAUUUUAGAUAUUAAUGAAGUAGAAGAAAAUGCACUUUUGCUUUUUUAAAGUAACGCUUCUGAAAAACCCUCUUGAAACAUUAAUUUAAACUACCACUUGACUACUGGUUGACAUUUUAGGAUUUUAAAUAUGACUAUUUUGAAUUGAAAUUUGUAUUUGCUUUAGGAAUAAAACCUUGGUUAUCCCUAUCAGUAUUCAUGACAUGAUGUCCUGAUGCACACCUGGUCAACCAUAUGCACCCCAACAUCACCCAUAACAUAAAUGUAAGAGUAAACCUCCAUACUAUUCAUGAAUUUUUACAGAAGUAUAACACAUAGUUUCUCUUAAUUCUGUCUUCCCUCAUAUAUUUUGACUGAAUGUUUACACAUAUCACUAUCAGUGGAAUAUAGAUAGCCUCUUUUUAUUUGAUCAUGUUUAUAUAGUGGCUUUCUAUAACACUUAUUAUACCAUAGACUUCUAUGGAGGUCUUCCUUGAAGGCUGACGUUUGCUGCCCAUACUUUCAACCACUGAUUGGUCUGCUUCAGACUCAGUAACACUGAGCGAAUGUUAUUUUAAGCUGCCACCCCAAAAAUAUUCCAGGUUUGUUAAAUUGGUGUUGACAAGCCAGACUGAAUAAAAAACAAGCCAUGACAGGUCCCACACUUGAACUACACAGGACCUAUACCAUGUAAGUCUCAUGACAAGCUUGGAGAACUGGGGAUCUGGAGACAAGGCCAUGACAGGUCCCACACUUGAACUACACAGGACCUAUACCAUGUAAGUCUCAUGACAAGCUUGGAGAACUGGGGAUCUGGAGACAAGGCCAUGACAGGUCCCACAUUUGAACUACACAGGACCUAUACCAUGUAAGUCUCAUGACAAGCUUGGAGAACUGGGGAUCUGGAGACAAGGCCAUGACAGGUCCCACACUUGAACUACACAGGACCUAUACCAUGUAAGUCUCAUAACAAGCUUGGAGAACUGGGGAUCUGGAGACAAGGCCUUGACAGGUCACACACUUGAACUACACAGGACCUAUACCAUGUAAGUCUCAUGACAAGCUUGGAGAACUGGGGAUCUGGAGACAAGGCCUUGACAGGUCCCACACUUGAACUACACAGGACCUAUACCAUGUAAGUCUCAUGACAAGCUUGGAGAACUGGGGAUCUGGAGACAAGGCCAUGACAGGUCCCACAUUUGAACUACACAGGACCUAUACCAUCUUGGUCUCAUGACAAGCUUGGAGAACUGGGGAUCUGGAGACAAGGCCAUGACAGGUCCCACAUUUGAACUACACAGGACCUAUACCAUCUGGGUCUCAUGACAAGCUUGGAGAACUGGGGAUCUGGAGACAAGGCCAUGACAGGUCCCACAUUUGAACUACACAGGACCUAUACCAUCUGGGUCUCAUGACAAGCUUGGAGAACUGGGGAUCUGCCCUCAGGAGACAAGGCCAUGACAGGUCCCACACUUGAACUACACAUGACCUAUACCAUCUGGGUCUCAUGACAAGCUUGGAGAACUGGGGAUCUGGAGACAAGGCCUUGACAGGUCCCACAUUUGAACUACACAGGACCUAUACCAUCUGGGUCUCAUGACAAGCUUGGAGAACUGGGGAUCUGGAGUCAAGGCCUUGACAGGUCCCACAUUUGAACUACACAGGACCUAUACCAUCUGGGUCUCAUGACAAGCUUGGAGAACUGGGGAUCUGGAGACAAGGCCAUGAUGUGGGAAUAUCUGAAGUUUUGAGCCCGGUAUAUCUAGAAUGUUUUAUACUUAGGUCUAACAUAUAAUGGUAAUUUUUAUUGCAUCAUAUGAAUCAUACUCUGUUAUCCAUAAAAUAAACUGCUUGACAAGUCACACUGUAUUAAAGACCUGAGUUCUA